UAUCUGUAUCUAUGUAUCUGCGUGUCUGUAUCUGCGCCUGUCCGCCGACUGCGCUGCAACCGAGCCGAGCGAACCCAACCGCCUUGUGUCAAAGUGAACAGCAAAUAUUAUUUUUUGGACACUUUGCCAUCAGGUCGCCGUCGCGUACUCGUACUCGUCCUCGUCCUCGUCCUGCUCCCCGUUCUCGGUGGCCAUUGUCCUGCGGAGCUCCUGGAGUUCCAGUGCCCGUUGUCGCAUUCGAGGUCCGACUGUGGGUCCCGGAGCCACGGCCUUUGUCUGCGGCGGCAGAGUGCACCAAUUGUGUUUAAUUGAAUCCGACAACAAAAGCCAGAAACGCUGCAAAAGAGAACCCAAAAGUAUUCCAAAAAGUAUGCCCAAAGUAUAAAAAGAUAAUGGAAGAAGUGGCUGUAAAUCAAGAAGAGCCGGUUCGGGUUCGUUUGUUGCCAAAAAUACAAGAAUUAAUUAUAAUAAUGACAAAGAACAAGCACUUCGACGACCCCACUCCGCGUCCGCAUCCGCAUUCGCAUCCGCAUCCGCGCGCGUUCGGUUGGCCAAUUGUGAAUAUGGAUUACAAUUUCGCGUGUGCGAGCUGAGGAAACAAAAAAAAAAUAUGGAAAAUGGAAAAAAGCAAAGGAAAAAAUGAAUCUACCAGUAUUUCCGCCUUGCGGUUUGGCAGCUGACGGGCCGGUGGGGCCAUUGGUGCUGCUUUGGACUGGGAUCCUCGAGUGCGCGGGGCGUGACUUCAAUUAAAGUGAUUUGUGGCCUCCGUUUCUGACAUACGAGACGUAAAUAGCGGCCCUGAAGUAUGGUGCCGCUGAAAUAUGAAUAUUGGAACGCAGUCCCCGGCCCAUCGGCCAAACAAUCGCCAGUCACGCAUCCCCACCUGAAACCGCCUCCAAGUUGGCUAAUAUAUGGGCUUCUUUCUAGAUAGCUCCCAAAAUCCCCAAACAAAAUGCCGUCGGCUGAAUCAAAUAUGUCGGCCAUACGCGUUCCCGGCGAAGAAGAAGCGGAUUUAAUGGAGCGCCAUGAUGGCCAAGCCAAAAGAAGAAGAAGAGGCGCGGAAAGAGAGGAGAGUCGAAUGCGGAAUGCCGUUGGAAUGUGUGAGAUUGGGCAGCGUAGACUGCGACGCCGGCAGCGCUGCCUCCGCAUGUCAAUGGUUGCCAAGCGACAGCGACUGCGGCGGCCAUCAUGGAUGUGAAAGAGAGCAACGCUCUCCGCGUCUCCCUCUCUCGCUCGUGCCAACAGUUCGAUAUUCCGCAGCGGUAUUCCAUAUAGCCACUCACCUGCGACGGCGGCUGUUGUGAAGUUCUUGCGAAGUGAGCGACUGAAAUUCGGAGCCCCCGAAAAACCAGAGGCCCCAACAGGACCGUCGGAGGGGGCUGGGGAAUUUCGAGGGAGUUUCUGCGACUGCGUCGUCACCCAAAAAACACGUAGAAACAAAGGACGACAAGCGGAGGAAGUUGCCCAGGUUUGAUUACACAUCGACCCCUGGAGCGAGGACUUAACCCGGCGGCAGCUGCUUCAGUUCUUCGAGGGACUCGCAGAUGGAUACUCUGGGCACUUGUCUGCGUCUUCGCGUGUGUUUGUGUGUUUUUAUAACAUUUGUGGAUUACGCCUAUAAAAACUACACCUCACCGCGGAGCCAGCGGAGGGCACCAGCUACAACAAAGGAUUACAAAUGAUCUGCGAAAAUGAUACAACCUGCGACACGAGAGAUUACAACAGAGCUGUUUUUUUUAUGGUUUGUUCCGCUUUUGUUUAACGGUCCCGAGGAUCACACGCAAUCCCACGCAAUCCACAUCCACCACCGAUGUCAGAAAAACCAGACUCAACGCAACGCAACGCAACUCGACUCAACCGAAACUCGACUCUCAUCCCCGGGAACUCAAAAUAGUGUUUUAUUGUUGAAAAUUACUCCUCUUUUAUUUAUUUACGUUUUUCUGCACUUUCUGCUGCUUACUCAUUCUCACCCAGUUUCAAUUUUUAUAUGUUUAUUACGAUUAUUAUCGUUUAAUGGGGCUCGCUGGCUCGUUAUUGCUGUUUUUGUUAUUGUUGCAGCAGUAGUUGUGUCAGACUAACGUGUGAAGUUGUUUUAUUAUUUGUUUUGAUUAUCAAAAUGGGCGUUUUACAUUUUUCCGGUCGUUGGGCGGCCCACCUGCCAUGGGCCUCCAGCUUACAGUCCAUAUCCCAUAACCCCCGGGCAAGGGCAGUAAAUCACAGCCCGCUGUGAGUGGCUGAGUAUCUGGCCGGCAGUACACUCAACAAAAAAAUAACACUUCACUUCUGAAAUUCUAGUUAAUAAUUAGCUGGUUGUUGCGGCAUAGUUGCUGGCAACUAAAUCUGAACGAUAAACUAAUUUUAAAACACCUCCAUAAAAGCUUUUACUUUAAUAUCCCAGAAAAUGUUUUUUUAAGCUCACAAUAAAAAACUAAAAAAAAUAUCUUUAAAAAUUUGUAAAUAAUUUGUAGCUAUAAUUUAAAUGACUAAAAAAGCAAUGCCAAAGAAUAUUACCAAAAACAAUAUUUUAGCGGCUAAAAUUUCUAGCCUUUACAAAAUAAUAUCGUUAAUAUCUUAAGUACAUGCCGAUUUUUUCCAGUGAUCGAGUGAGAUCAAAUGCACUCGGUGCUGGCCACUCAUUCGCACUCUCCGUAUGACCCAUAAACAUAAACCAAAGUGUGGCAAAAUGUUUAAUUUGGAAUUUAUGAGCAAUUAAUUUUAAAGCACUCGCCCGCCCGUUAACGCUGUUUCUGCCCCUCCCCUUUUGGCCACCGCCCACCCUUGGCCAUAAAAGAUUUAACAAGCCAGUGUGCCAAAAAUUGAUUGUUUAGCCAAUCCGCUGAUUGAUCAAUUAUUCAAUUGUUAUCGCCCAAGAUUUGGCAAUCACUUUUGAGCAAGGCCAGUAAAACUACGCGAAAGUCAAUUAUAAAAGAAUUAGCUGAUUGAAUGGCCAGGUGAGAAGUCAAUUAAACUGACAGGUAAUAAAAAAAUAAAUUAAAUUCAAAUAAAUAUUCUUCGGUAAAAAUAAUCUUAAGGAAGCAACAAAAAAUGUAUUUUAGAAGAUUUAAGCUGGUGGAAUUAACAUAUUAUA